rnacentral:rRNA from 1 species
CUAAAGUUUUAUUUUGGCUUGUAAAUUUAUUGUUAGUUUAAUUUAUAUGUAAAUUUUUAUGUGAAUUUUUAUUUAUUUUAAUAAUAAGUAAAAUUAUUUUAUCCGCAGUAAUUAAUAUUAUUAAUUAAGGAAACUUAGAAAUAGUAAUACUAAAGAGUAGUGGCUAAAUUUGUGCCAGCAGCCGCGGUUAUACGAAUAAUGCAAAUAAAUUUUUUUAGUUAAAGUUAAAUUGUUUAAUAUAAAAUAAAAAUAAAUUUAUUAAGUGAAAUUUUAAAUUUGUAUAUUUUUUAUU